CUUCUAUUUCUUAGCAGAUUUUAUCUUCUUCUUCCAACUAGACUUUCUCUUGGAAGAAGUCUGCUCUACAGCGAGAACAGUAUCCCUUAAACUCUUCAAGGUUCCUUUCAUAGUGACCAAUAUGUUGACCAGUUCGGAUAUAGUGCAAUCAAAUUUGUUCAUAUAAAAAUUUAUAAUAAAUUGACUAUAUGAACUCGUAAGGGAUUGAA
rnacentral:lncRNA from 1 species